rnacentral:rRNA from 1 species
AGUGAACGCUGGCGGUAGGCCUAACACAUGCAAGUCGAACGGCAGCACAGUAAGAGCUUGCUCUUACGGGUGGCGAGUGGCGGACGGGUGAGGAAUACAUCGGCAUCUACUUUUUCGUGGGGGAUAACGUAGGGAAACUUACGCUAAUACCGCAUACGACCUACGGGUGAAAGCAGGGGAUAUUCGGACCUUGCGCGAUUGAUUGAGCCGAUGUCGGAUUAGCUAGUUGGCGGGGUAAAGGCACACCAAGGCGACGAUCCGUAGCUGGUCUGAGAGGAUGAUCAGCCACACUGGAACUGAGACACGGUCCAGACUCCUACGGGAGGCAGCAGUGGGGAAUAUUGGACAAUGGGCGCAAGCCUGAUCCAGCCACACCGCGUGAGUGAAGAAGGCCUUCGGGUUGUAAAGCCCUUUUGUUGGGAAAGAAAAGCAGCAGAUUAAUACCCCGCUGUUCUGACGGUACCCAAAGAAUAAGCACCGGCUAACUUCGUG